UAAGGAGCUUGCUCCUUUGACGUUAGCGGCGGACGGGUGAGUAACACGUGGAUAACCUACCUAUAAGACUGGGAUAACUUCGGGAAACCGGAGCUAAUACCGGAUAACAUAUUGAACCGCAUGGUUCAAUAGUGAAAGGCGGCUUUGCUGUCACUUAUAGAUGGAUCCGCGCCGUAUUAGCUAGUUGGUAAGGUAACGGCUUACCAAGGCAACGAUACGUAGCCGACCUGAGAGGGUGAUCGGCCACACUGGAACUGAGACACGGUCCAGACUCCUACGGGAGGCAGCAGUAGGGAAUCUUCCGCAAUGGGCGAAAGCCUGACGGAGCAACGCCGCGUGAGUGAUGAAGGUCUUCGGAUCGUAAAACUCUGUUAUCAGGGAAGAACAAAUGUGUAAGUAACUGUGCACAUCUUGACGGUACCUGAUCAGAAAGCCACGGCUAACUACGUGCCAGCAGCCGCGGUAAUACGUAGGUGGCAAGCGUUAUCCGGAAUUAUUGGGCGUAAAGCGCGCGUAGGCGGUUUUUUAAGUCUGAUGUGAAAGCCCACGGCUCAACCGUGGAGGGUCAUUGGAAACUGGAAAACUUGAGUGCAGAAGAGGAAAGUGGAAUUCCAUGUGUAGCGGUGAAAUGCGCAGAGAUAUGGAGGAACACCAGUGGCGAAGGCGACUUUCUGGUCUGUAACUGACGCUGAUGUGCGAAAGCGUGGGGAUCAAACAGGAUUAGAUACCCUGGUAGUCCACGCCGUAAACGAUGAGUGCUAAGUGUUAGGGGGGUUUCCGCCCCUUAGUGCUGCAGCUAACGCAUUAAGCACUCCGCCUGGGGAGUACGACCGCAAGGUUGAAACUCAAAGGAAUUGACGGGGACCCGCACAAGCGGUGGAGCAUGUGGUUUAAUUCGAAGCAACGCGAAGAACCUUACCAAAUCUUGACAUCCUUUGACCGCUCUAGAGAUAGAGUCUUCCCCUUCGGGGGACAAAGUGACAGGUGGUGCAUGGUUGUCGUCAGCUCGUGUCGUGAGAUGUUUGGGUUAAGUCCCGCAA
rnacentral:rRNA from 1 species